GCUCUUAAAUGGAAAUCCAUUCUUGUUAAAUUGUAAAUUGAACUGAUUCAAAAAGCAUUGGCUGUUAAAUGCAAAUGCUUAGAGUAGUGGACAUUUGGUUGCAUAUCAGUCUAGCCAUGGGAGCAAGCUGAGAAAGGAGUAGCAAGAUCAUCGCCCUGUGAAGAAGCAGAGCAGGGAGUACAGGGCGCUACUCAAAGACUAGCAGGCAGCGCUUUUAAAACUCCUGUAGGUAAGAACAGACUUCUCCACUACCGCUGGUAACUAAGAAUUGUAUUAGAUGAAGCUGUACAGAUAAUGUGAACUUCCCAUUCAGUGUUGUGUUUACAGAGGAAGUAACUGCAGUCAGCAUAGUUUGGUGACGCUUUUAUAAAAUUGAAACAUUUUUAAUGCAUGCCCAGUUAUUUUUUCCACAUGUUCCAUAUUUAACUUGCUGACCAUGAUACUCUUGCUUUUUCAGGAACUGAUGAGUGAAUCAUCUCUUGAAAUGAAGACAUGUUUGUCCAUUUAAACUGGUGCUAUAAUAAAAGGACAAAGAUGCAGCUGAAUAGAUUUAUUUUUUAUACCUGUGGUUUUUACACUUUUUACAAAUAAAACUUUUAAUGCAACAAA